rnacentral:tRNA from 1 species
AUUUGAUUAGUAUAGAUGUACAUGUGAUUUCCAAUCACAAGGCAGGGUCAAAUA